rnacentral:rRNA from 1 species
GUCUAUGGCCACACUACCCUGAAUGUUGAUCUCGGAAGCUAAGCGGGAUCCAGCCUGGUUAGUACUUGGAUGGGAGACAACUUGGGAAUACUGGGUGCUAUAGGUU